CAUUGGUCCUCUCGCAAUACUAGUAGGCGAACCUGGUCAGGUCCGGAAGGAAGCAGCCAUAGUUUAUGAUGUAUGUGCCGGGAUGUGGCUGGUGGGG
rfam:Alishewanella agri BL06 contig012, whole genome shotgun sequence.